CUCGCUCGAAGCUACCAUGGCCGUCGUUCCCCGCAUUGCGCCGCUGCUGCUCCUCGUGUCCCUCCUCUCCCUAUCUCUCCAACUCGCUCCAUCCGCCGCCUGCCCGACCUGCCCAACUCCGACACCCCCACCCCCUCCCCCACCGCGCAAGCUCAAGCCCCCGCCGCCUCCAUCCUCCGUGCCAUGCCCUCCGCCGCCGUACACCCCGACCCCGGUGACCCCGACGCCGUCGACGCCGACGGGGAAGUGCCCCGUGGACACGCUGAAGCUGGUGGCGUGCGUGGACGCGC
rnacentral:lncRNA from 1 species